UUAGGCUUGCAACUUGUUCAGCAAAUACAAAAAUAUGACUUCUUCCAGAACGAGGGUAUGAUUGAAUAAUGAAAUACUUCUUAUUAAAUUAAAGUCAGGCGUCAUUUACAAAUAUAAGUGCAGUGUCUGCACCGCCACUUAUAUAGGUGAGAUGUCGCGUCAUCGUAACAACUGGUAUUUGCUAGAGAUUAAAGAGAUUUUGUUCAUAAUGCAGGAUAGUCCCCAGUUGAAUAACAACAUUAGAUCUACUCCAUUGUAUUUAUACAAUUAGUAUUUAAUCUGUAACUAUGGUUACUGUUAAACUUGUAUAUACUUAGGAAAACUUUGUACUUCGUCGCAAAUAAUGUAGUUUUUUUGUUGUCAAAUACUUCUUAGUUCAGCCAACUGCAAAUUCCCUCCACUGCGAUGCGAUUCAUAUAAAGAAUAUUUUUUAUAUCAUAUGAAGUAUUUAUGUAUUAUACUGAAUAGUUCUUUUUUCUCAAUCGUUAGUGUACGUUAGCCCUAAUUCAUUUGGAUUUUUUUAUCAAACUAUCUCCAGAGGAAACUAAUGAUAGGAUAAUAAUGUGAUGAAAUUUAGUGAAAUGAUUAAAAUUUAUAGGAGCAACAAAAAUGCGGAAAACGCUUAUGUUACUUUAUCUAUGACGUCAUCAAGAUUCCGAAAAAUAACGAGAAUAUAUGUGUUCACUUAAGUCUUCGAGUUCUGAAUCGAAAUUUCAAGUUCUAGUUAAACACUCAACUGAGA